AGUGAACGCUGGCGGUAGGCCUAACACAUGCAAGUCGAACAGCAGCACAGGAGAGCUUGCUCUCUGGGUGGCGAGUGGCGGACGGGUGAGGAAUACAUCGGAAUCUACUCUGUCGUGGGGGAUGACGUAGGGAAACUUACGCUAAUACCGCAUACGACCUACGGGUGAAAGCAGGGGAUCUUCGGACCUUGCGCGAUUGAAUGAGCCGAUGUCGGAUUAGCUAGUUGGCGGGGUAAAGGCCCACCAAGGCGACGAUCCGUAGCUGGUCUGAGAGGAUGAUCAGCCACACUGGAACUGAGACACGGUCCAGACUCCUACGGGAGGCAGCAGUGGGGAAUAUUAGACAAUGGGCGCAAGCCUGAUCCAGCCAUACCGCGUGGGUGAAGAAGGCCUUCGGGUUGUAAAGCCCUUUUGUUGGGAAAGAAAUCCAGCUGGCUAAUACCCGGUUGGGAUGACGGUACCCAAAGAAUAAGCACCGGCUAACUUCGUGCCAGCCGCCGCCGUAA
rnacentral:rRNA from 1 species